rnacentral:tRNA from 1 species
GGGCUAUAGCUCAGCUGGGAGAGCGCAACACUGGCAGUGUUGAGGUCAGCGGUUCGAUCCCGCUUAGCUC